CGAUACUCCGAGCGAAAAUCUCUAAGGAUGCCAGAUAAUCUAUCUAUGGGAUUGAGCCUGGGUAAAACCCACAGGGGAACCUCAGAAAUGAGCUUCCCUUCCGUUUUUUGAAAAGGAGCACGA
rnacentral:ncRNA from 1 species